rnacentral:rRNA from 1 species
AUACGGAGGAUGCAAGCGUUAUCCGGAUUCAUUGGGUUUAAAGGGUGCGCAGGCGGAAUGAUAAGUCAGUGGUGAAAUCUCCCGGCUCAACCGGGAAACUGCCAUUGAUACUGUUGUUCUUGAGUACACUUGGAGUGGGCGGAAUGUGUCAUGUAGCGGUGAAAUGCUUAGAUAUGACACAGAACACCGAUCGCGAAGGCAGCUCACUAAAUUGUAACUGACGCUCAUGCACGAAAGCGUGGGGAUC